rnacentral:rRNA from 1 species
AUUGAACGCUGGCGGAAUGCUUUACACAUGCAAGUCGAACGGCAGCACGGGGCAACCUGGUGGCGAGUGGCGAACGGGUGAGUAAUACAUCGGAACGUGCCCAAUCGUGGGGGAUAACGUAGCGAAAGUUACGCUAAUACCGCAUACGAUCUACGGAUGAAAGCGGGGGAUCGCAAGACCUCGCGCGAAUGGAGCGGCCGAUGUCAGAUUAGGUAGUUGGUGGGGGUAAAGGCUCACCAAGCCAACGAUCUGUAGCUGGUCUGAGAGGACGACCAGCCACACUGGAACUGAGACACGGUCCAGACUCCUACGGGAGGCAGCAGUGGGGAAUUUUGGACAAUGGGCGCAAGCCUGAUCCAGCCAUUCCGCGUGCAGGAUG